CUUAGAAAGAAUGAAUAGGUACGGGUAACUUAACGUGACAUUAAUGUGACAUUUAAUGCUGGAAGAGGGAAGUGAAGACCAGAUGAAACAGGAAGGAGAGGAAUUUUGGAGUUAGCUUGAGAAAUUUGUAGAUGCAAGGAAUAGCCUUCCAGCAGAUGUGGUUGGAAGAAAUUGAGAAAGCUGGGUGCGACACAAUGCUGUCCUGAACAGGGAAUGAAAUACAAACUGCACUGUGAGCAGUGAUGCUGAC